GGAGACGGUGCACUUCCGGUCUCUAUGGCCGCGAUCUCAUCCGGGGCCGGGCUUCUCUGGUUCGUUGUCUCAGCUGCUCUGGAGGAUUCAGACCCGAUUAGUGGAGUACCUCUGAUCCAACCAUGACCAGGUGGGCUAGAGUUACUACUUCAAAUAGUAAGCGACCCCUGUCAGCAACAUCAUGGGAGGACAUGAAGAAGGGGUCUGUGGAGAGAGCAGACCAAAGCCUUCCAAAUCGUAAGCAGUGUCAAAGCAGUAGGCUGCCCCUUAGAAAUGACUCACCUCAAGCAAAACGCAAAAAGAACAAAAAGAAAAAAGAGUACUUGAAUGAAGACGUGAACGGCUUCAUGGAGUACCUGAAGCAGAACUCACAGGUACUUCACAAUGGACAGCUGAUAGCAGCUGACAGCCAGGAAGUGAGGGAAGAAAUUGCCGUGGCCUUAAAGAAGGACAGUCGACGGGAAGGAAGGCGGCUAAAGAGACAGGCGGCAAAGAAGAAUGCAAUGGUGUGUUUCCAUUGUCGACAACCUGGCCACGGAAUUGCUGACUGUCCAGCUGUACUAGAGAGUCAGGACAUGGGCACCGGCAUUUGUUACCGCUGUGGGUCCACGGAGCACGAGAUGUCCAAGUGCAGAGCUAACGUAGACCCCGCGCUUGGUGAAUUUCCUUUUGCAAAAUGUUUUGUCUGCGGAGAAAUGGGACACCUGUCCAGAUCCUGCCCUGAUAAUACCAAAGGAGUCUAUGCUGAUGGUUAGCAGGACAGGCAGAUAGAAGGCACUAAGACAGAUUUGCCUGAGUAAGUGACUGCCCCGUCUGACCUGUAAGGUAGAGGGGUGGUGCUGACUAACCUCUUGGGGGCCACUGGAUAGAAACUGGCAUCCUCCUCAGGGUGCAGACAUAAGUUAUGUCCCCAGGUGAAAGCUGCACACCUCGCCUCCCUCUCCAUGGUCCCCUCUAGACUUCUGUGCCUCCUGUCAUGUUCCUCUUCUCACGCCCGUCUAGAAGGUCAGGUAUAAGGAGGAACAGCUGGUACCAAUGAGUGUUUUGAAAUUCAGGAGUGGCAAAUGAGUUCCUAAAAGGAGUAGUGGCACCCACCCUGCUUCCUGACCCGGGCUACCUUUACAGUCAUCGGGGAUUGGGAUCAAAUAAGACAUGAGAUUGCGCGUCAGUGUUACAAGCCCUGUUGGGAUGAUAUGGGACUCGGUGACUCUGCUCUUUUACUAGGUGGCAGCUGUAAACUCUGUGGCUCCGUGGAACAUUUUAAGAAAGAUUGCCGAGAAAAUCAGAACUCAGAUCGGAUCAUCACGGUUGGUCGCUGGGCAAAGGGUAUGAGUGCAGACUAUGAAGACGUGCUGGAUGUGCCCAAACUGCAGAAACCUAAAACCAAAGUACCCAAAGUUGUUAAUUUUUGAUACUAAUUGGUACAAUUGUUAAUUACCACCUCAAGGUUACUUUCCAAACUCAGCCUUUAGCGAUUGAAGCUGGGCAACUGUGGAGGCAAAGCUGUGUUAUAGACACCACUCUGACCUUGGUAGCUUGCCUACAAUCAAUCUAUCAAGGCGUACAGGUUGAUUAAUUACACUCUCUAGAAAUGUGUGUGUGUGUGUGUGUGUGUGUGUGUGUGUGUGUGUGUGUGUGUGUGUGUGUGGUCUAUCUAUCUCUCUGUGCCUGUGUGUCUGUCUGUAUUUGAAGCAGAUUCUAUGUAGCCCAGGUUGGCUUCACACUAAUAACCGUGCUCCAGCAUCCAGAGUACUGUGCCUAAGAGCAUAUUUUACAGAUGGAACUUAGAAAUGACUAAAUGCCUCUAUACCUGAUUAUAGCAGUCAUCACUAUAAAUGUAAAUUAUGAAUCAAAAUUGACCCCUAAACAAAGCACAUGCCUUUCAGCUUGUGAAUCAAAAAAUAUUUUGUUAUAUGCUCUUAAUUCAGAGUAUCAAUUUUUUGUAAUAGAAAUUUAUUUAUAUGUUGUCACAAAAUCUGUAAUUCUUAGUACUGAAUAAAAUUAUAUCAGCUGUU